rnacentral:lncRNA from 1 species
GUCUCACGAAAUGUUGAAUCCUCCAGUUUGUUCCACACCAAAGCCUCAGAGCUUCCUGGGACAGCUGCUGCCAGUGCCUGUCUUACCAGGCGUCUCUCACGGGUGCCAGGCUGGCUCUGAACUACAACCUCUAAACACAGGGUCUACCUCACUCCCCUCUGGAUCCCGUGACUCUGGAACCUGACCUGGGAAAUUUGCUACGGAGCUGGAGGUGUGGCACACAGCCAGGAGGAGCAGCCAAAGGAGACGUGAGGAGCAGGGGCUGCCAUUGUAGCACUGGGCCAAUAAGGGAGGAAGUGAGCUUUGACCAGAAGGCCAACUUGGUAGUGAUUGCUUCGUGGUGUCUGUGGGAGGCAAGAUGAGAACGAACUUUAGCAUCCGACUUUAAAAGUCUCCCACGUAGGAACAGCUCGGCCUGACCAGCUCUGAAGGCCACCCCACCCUCAACCCUUCAUUGUCUUUGAGCCCUACAUGGAGGAGAGGAGAAAACACUGGUUAUCAAGUUCCCAGGAAGGGACCUGCGCAGAACUUCAGACUUCAGGGGCUCCUCUCUCUAAAGCCAUUAUGUAGAUGACGAAGUCUUUGAUGACGAUUCUUCCCCCUGGGCAUUCAAACUCCAUCUGACCGAGGUCCUGCGGGCCUGUGGCUCCAGGGAGAUCGAGGGCAACAUGGACGGCCAAGGUCUCAGCAUGGUGAGGGUAUCCUGUGCCAAUCUUCCACACCAGCACCGCUGGUGAAGACAGAUUCCAGGGUGAAGUAUUUUACCUACAAACUUUUGCAUGUGUGGUGCUGAGGGUCAUGCUGCAUACACACAUGUACUACCAACCAACUACAUCUUCAAAAUAGUAAGAGAAACACUGAGCGAUCUAUCACCCUCAGAUCUUAGGAAAUGAUAUAUUGAUUUUAUUUACUGGUAGGGUGUUCGUUAUCCA